CCUACGGGGGGCAGCAGUGAGGAAUAUUGGUCAAUGGGCGCGAGCCUGAACCAGCCAAGUCGCGUGAGGGAGGACGGCCCUACGGGUUGUAAACCUCUUUUGUCGGGGAGCAACGGGCGCCACGUGUGGCGUCUCUGAGAGUACCCGGAGAAAAAGCAUCGGUUAAGCCCGUGACAGCAGCCGCGGAAAUACGGAGGAUGCGAGCGUUACCCGGAUUUAUUGGGUUAAAGGGGUGCGUAGGCGGAUCGUAAAGUCAGUGGUCAAGUUGAGGGGCUCAACCUCUUCCCGCCAUUGAAACUGGCGUUCUUGAGUGGAAGAGAAGUAUGCGGAAUGCGUGGUGUAGCGGUGAAAUGCAUAGAUAUCACGCAGAACCCCGAUUGCGAAGGCAGCAUGCCGGCUUCCGACUGACGCUGAAGCACGAAAGCGUGGGGAUCGAACAGGAUUAGAUACCCCUGUAGUC
rnacentral:rRNA from 1 species